CGACGAGUCGAGUUGUUUGGGAAUGCAGCUCAAAAUGGGUGGUAAAUUUCAUCUAAAGCUAAAUAUAGGCCAGAGACCGAUAGCGCACAAGUAGAGUGAUCGAAAGAUGAAAAGCACUUUGGAAAGAGAGUUAAACAGUACGUGAAAUUGUUGAAAGGGAAGCGCUUGCAACCAGACUUGGGCGCUGCUUGAUCAUCCAUGAGUUCUUCUCUGGUGCACUCGACAGCGCACAGGCCAGCAUCGGUUCGGAUGGCUGGAUAAAGGCCGAAGAAAUGUAGCUCUCUUCGGAGAGUGUUAUAGUCUACGGUGACAUGCAGCCCAGCCGGACCGAGGACCGCGCCUUCGGGCUAGGAUGCUGGCGUAAUGGUUGUAAGCGACCCGUCUUGAAACACGGACCAAGGAGUCUAACAUCUAUGCGAGUGUUUGGGUGUCAAACCCAUACGCGGAAUGAAAGUGAAUGUAGGUGAGAACCCCAUUUUAGGGGUGCAUCAUCGACCGAUCCUGAUGUCUUCGGAUGGAUUUGAGUAAGAGCAUAGCUGUUGGGACCCGAAAGAUGGUGAACUAUGCCUGAAUAGGGUGAAGCCAGAGGAAACUCUGGUGGAGGCUCGCAGCGGUUCUGACGUGCAAAUCGAUCGUCAAAUUUGGGUAUA
rnacentral:rRNA from 1 species